AUUGAACGCUGGCGGCAGGCCUAACACAUGCAAGUCGGGCGAACGAGGCUUCGGCCAAGUGAGCGGCGAACGGGUGAGUAACACGUAGGAAUCUGCCUGGUAGUGGGGGACAACGUCUCGAAAGGGACGCUAAUACCGCAUACGCCCUACGGGGGAAAGCUGGGGAUCUUCGGACCUAGCGCUAUCAGAUGAGCCUGCGUCGGCUUAGCUAGUUGGUAGGGUAAAGGCCUACCAAGGCGACGAUCCGUAACUGGUCUGAGAGGAUGAUCAGGCACACCGGAACUGAGACACGGUCCGGACUCCUACGAGAGGCGGCAGUGGGGAAUAUUGGACAAUGGGGGCAACCCUGAUCCAGCCAUGCCGCGUGUGUGAAGAAGGCCUUCGGGUUGUAAAGCACUUUAGGUCGGGAGGAAGGUUCGCUGGCUAAUAUCCGGCGGAAUUGACGUUACCGACAGAAUAAGCACCGGCUAACUUCGUGCCAGCCGCCGCAGUAA
rnacentral:rRNA from 1 species